UUCUGAGACUUGCGUUUAUGAUUCGAAGAGUGAAAACGGAUACCAGUCAACUACAUACACACGCGCUUGUUUAUUCCUUUGUGUGUUGGAAAUUAUUGAUGGUCCUUCUGUCACUGUCCGUAAUUUAGCGAUUUGCCAAGCAAGCAGCAGAUGGAGUAGAGCAGACCUCUUUUCUCGACUGCAGUGGCUUGGCAUUGGAUGCCCUAAUAAGAAGAUUGACUUGACUUUUUAAUGCGAUUCCGUGUAUCACACAACUUACAAGACAAUAUGUUUCAUUAUAUAUCUAUGAUCAUAUUUAGGAUACAUGUUAAUGACCAUUGUAAGAUUGUGUGUAACAUACAAGACUUGGGCCACUUGCAUCAAGGUCAAGUUCAGAUAUAGAAUUCAGCUGCAUACAGUCUACCACAUAGCUAAUAAACCCUAUGAAAGGAGCUGUCGGUAUUUCCAUGGUGCAGCUAUCACCAGUUUCAAAAUGGAAACAGAUGGUGAGUCUCAAGCGAAAAAGAAAAGUGGACCUCUCCUAACAACUUAAAAGGAGAACAUUAUCUUGCAUAGCAUUUUUCUCCGAAGGGAUUGAUUCAAACAAGCACAUUGUGACAAGUAUCCCACUGAAGGCAAGUUCUACAAGAAGGAGACGGACUCCACUGGUUGAUCAAUAUAUCGACGUUCAAAAAGGGCUUAAAUUUGUUUACCGAUCAAAACUAUGCCAUAAGACAUGAAUCACCCUCCAAUUAAAACAAAACAUAUGGAGAAGUCAGUCACUUUCAAAUCAAGUAACAAUUUAAGAUAUGAGACGAUUCUAAUGACGACAAUGAAUAUGGAGAAGUAUAAUGUACUUGAAAAUGUUUAAUGGAAAUAGAGGAAUGUGAAACUUCUUUGUAUUUAUUUGGUUCUCAUGAAGGCUUUGUCAUUGAUAAGGCUGGCAGAUAAGUUGAUUUAUUUCUUUGUUUUCAACAAAAAGAAAAGUUGAAAAGUCUAAAUUUAAGCAUUUUAGGAGUACUAAAAGAUGUUAUAGAAAUAUUUGAGAUAGAAUGUAAAAACUGGCCCUUCUUAGGGUCUGCUAAUUUAGGGCUAAAAUAAAAUAAAAACAUAUAA
rnacentral:lncRNA from 1 species